GGAAUGUUUUAUUCUUGCUUUUCUGUUCAUUAUUUAAUUGUUUUAUAUGUAAGUUUUUGCGUGAUUUGUUCUGUUGUCUAAAUGGUGAUGGGUUUUUUAUAUUGUAUUUUCAUUAUUUGUUAUUGGGUGUAAUAAGGUUUCUUGUAUCUAGUAAUUUUCUUUGGUUUCGGUUAAAUUUUGUGCCAGCAACCGCGGUUAUACAUUGGAGGCGAUUGAACAUGUUUGGUCUGUGGUAGUUUUAUUAUUGAGUUGGUUUGGAUUGGUAGUGUCAUUUGGUUUGUUGGUGGGUGGAAUCUUUAUUUGCUUGUUUUUCCUGUUUUUGUGUUUUUGAGGCUACGAAAUUCUUGUUUGUAAACUAGGAUUAGAUACCCUAUUAUUUUGGAAUGUUAAUUUGUGUGUGCCUGAGUAGUAUUAGUUAUGUUCUUUAAACUUAAAGAAUUUGGCGGUGCCUUUUUCCAUUCAGAGGAAUCUGUUUCGUUAUCGAUAGUCCGCGUUGGACCUUACUUGGAUUUGUUGGUUUGUAUACCGCCGUUUAUUGAUUAUCUUUUUAGUGUUAUUUAAUUUUCUUUUAGUUGUUGUUGGAGCUUAUUUCAGGUCAAGGUGCAGCUUAUUUUUGAGUGUAUGAUGGAUUACUUUUGUUAUUUGUGUGUGGAUCAUUGGUUGUAAUAUUGGUGUGAAAUUGGAUUUGAUUGUAAUAUUUAUGUAGAUUGUUUUUAUGAUAUGUUUGGCUCUGGGGCAAGUACACAUCGCCCGUCGCUCUCGCUUGAUUUUUAUUGGUGAGAUAAGUCGUAACAAAGUGGUUGUACCGGAAGGUGCGGCUAGUUUUAU
rnacentral:ncRNA from 1 species